ensembl:lncRNA
AUUUCUUCUUAAAGUUUUAUACUUUAGGCUUGCCUAUUUAGGUUCAUAGAUCCCUUCAAGUUAUUUUUAUGUAUGGAAAUAAAGGGUUGAGGUUAAUUUUUUAUGUACAGAUACCAGGUGUUCUACUGCCAUUUUCUGAAAACACUAUCUCUUCCUUGGCUCUUGAAUUGAGUUUAUAUUCUAUAAAAUGCUAAUUUUAAAUAAUCUUUCAAAACUCAGUGGACCAUAUAUGUGUGGUUCUAUUUCUAGAUUCUCUGUUUUAUUCAAAAGAUCUAUAUGUCUUUCCUUACACCAACACUGCCUUGAUUACUGUAGCUUUAGAAGAAGUCUUAAAAUUAGGUACUAAAUGUCUUCCAACACUGUUUUUUUUUUCUUACUUUUCUAGGUCCUUUGUACUCCUACAUAACUUUUAAAUUUCAAUAUCCAAUUCUUCAUUUAUAGCAAGUAUACACAGACCUGAAUUUUUAUAUAUACCUUGUGUUUUCUAAUCCUGCUAAAUUCAAAUACAAGUUCUAGGGGCUCCUAGAGAUUUCUUAGUAUUUUCUCCAUAGAUGAUCAUCUCAUCUACAUAUAAAGAUUUUGCUUCUACCUUGCCAAUCCUAUCCUAAUUGUGUCAUUUUAUUGCCAGACUAUUUUGGUGGGGCCUAGGUUUCAAAGUUUAAUGGACAGAUGAAGAGUAGGCAUAUCUGCCCUUGUUCCCCACCUUAAGGAGAAAGCAUUGUAUCUUCUCAAUUCAUAUAAGGUAUUCUCACUGGAAGUAUGGAGUACAUGUCUUUAAUCUGUUGAGAAGGCUCUGUUCUACUUCUAGGCUCCUGAUAGCUUUUACCAUGAACAGCUGUAGAAUUUAGUCCAAUACUUUUUCUGCAACGAGUGACAGGAUCAUAUGGCUUUUUCCUUUCCUCUGUUAAAAUGAUGACUUAUGGUGGUGAAUCUUCCAAUGCUGAACCAACACUGCCAUCCCUAUAACUAAACCACUUUCUACAUACUGCCAGAACUGACUUCUAUGUUCAUACUUUUUUCUUCUAUUAUCUUUAUCCAGUUUUAGGAUUAGCACAAUGUUGAUUCCUAAAAUGAGGGCAGAAGUGUUUCUUUUUUUUUCUGCUUUAAAUGUUUGAUAUAAUUAAUCAGUUAAAAUGUUUAUGAGCCUGUUGUUGUCAUAUAGGUAGGUUUUCAAUAUAGGAAUAUACUUUCUUUAAUAGGUGCUAUUCAAAUUUUAUAUUCCUUCCAGAGUCAGUUUCAUUAAUUUGUCUUCCAAGGUACUUCUUAGAAGUUGUCAAAUGUAUUUCAAAACAGAUUUUUGUAAUAUGCUUUCUAUAGCCUUUUAAAUUCUGUAAAAUCUGUGGUAAUGUGUCCUAGGUCUUGAUAUUUUAAUCCUAAAAAUGUAUAAUUGAUAUUGUAUAAUAGGAUGUAAAGGUCUAAAGGAGCAGGGGAAGUGGGAGAGGUAAGGGAUAGGAAAGAAGGGGAAAAAUAUGAGAAAAGUAAAAAAAUGGAAACAAAAUCUUUGCAAAUAGAGAAGGGUGGAAGGGGUGAAGGGAGGGCAGGUGAAGGGGAAAAAAAUAAGAACCAAGAUACUCAUGUAAUGGUACAAGACCCCAAUGAUGUAUGUAACUGUAUUUUAUUCCUAAAAUGUACCAAUACACUUAAUGGGGAAAAAAAUGAAAAUGUGAAUUUAUGUGUGUCUUUUGGGAACUCCUAGAAAAUAUGAUCCAUUUACCAGAAUUCUUGGUUGAAUACCUAAAACCAACAUUUCUAAUACAAAGAAUAAUCAAAGUAUUGUAUGUUGAAAGACUAUACUUUAUAUUGUUUAGUAAAAAAAAAAAAAAAAGAAAAAACCUUCUUGAGAUUAUUGAAAAAAUAUCAGAUUGGGGGCAAUGUGGAGAACUCAUUUGUUCCCACUUCUCAAAGACAUUCCAUAUUUUUUCACAGAUAAUAAUUCUGAAAUCUAAAGACUAAGCCAUCUGAGAAAGAACCCUAAAUAUUUCCAUAUUAAUGCCUGCUUCCCAUGAUACGACUGGGCAUUCCUGGAUCUUCUUUUGUUCACUGAAUUCUCCAUGCUCCAGACCCAACUACAGAACCAACAUCACCAAAGCCUCACUGGCUCACGGAGUCCUUGUGAAAACCAGGAGAUGCUAGUGGUCAGAGCAUGGUUUCAGGAAUGGUCUUUCCGAGGCAUUUACUGCACAGGCGGACAGAACAGUGGCUCCAUGAAUACCAGUUUCACAGUCGAGGAUAUCUGGUAUUUCCAGUGAUGUUUAGAGUUCAGUGGGUUUAUGGUUCCAUGACAUCUUAUUAUUUCAGGUUGUCUGCCAGUCUUCAUAGAAGCAGCAGCAAAUCUUCUGGCUGUCUGAUUCUCAGGCCAGGAGAUUAUAUUCGAACUCUCCAGGUUCUCCAGCCUGUCAGAUGCAGAGGUGAAAAUGUGUCAGCUGCUGUGAUCAUGCACGCUAAUUCCUUAUAAAAUACAUGUAUACAUUAUAUUGUUUCUGUUUGUCUGUAGAUCCCCAAUACCUAUCGCAUACUGGCUUAAUAUUCUCAAGCUCAUUUUAAUUUAGUUUUGCCUCUGUUCAUUCAAAGUGAUCGUGUUUGAAUAAAGAAGAGGAGGAGAAAUAUUAGUUUUUCCUUCCCUCUUCAGACACAGUGCUCAGCCCUGGAUUUCUAUUCGAAACAGGAAAUGGAUUUGCCGAUGAUACUAAAGAAAUGGGAUUGAUAAAUCCAUCUACAACUUUGACAUGUCCUAUGCUUUAAUAUCCACAAACACGGCAGUACUCAGAUUCACAAUAACGUUAUCAUGCUUUCAGGUGAAAAAGUAUCUGAACUGCAUAUGACAGAUUCCCAUGACAAGUGUAUUCCAGGUGCUGCUAAUGGCUAUCUUUUGGGAGGUGUGUGUCAGUUAAUAUGUUUGUCAACUUGACUAUAUUAAGGAACUCCUGGAAGCCAGGCAUGGUGGAGCAAUCCCAGGAUUCAGGAGGCUGAGGCAGGAGGAUUGCUGCAAGUUCAAGGCCAGUCUUGGCUACAUAGUGAGUUCAAGGCAAGCCUGAAAAACAUAGUGAGACUCUGUUUGAGAGAAAGAGAGAGAGAGAGAGAGAGAGAGAGAGAGAGAGAGAGAGAGAGAGAGAAAGGGG